AUGAACGCUGGCGGCGUGCCUAAUACAUGCAAGUCGAGCGAACAGACGAGGAGCUUGCUCCUCUGACGUUAGCGGCGGACGGGUGAGUAACACGUGGAUAACCUACCUAUAAGACUGGGAUAACUUCGGGAAACCGGAGCUAAUACCGGAUAAUAUAUUGAACCGCAUGGUUCAAUAGUGAAAGACGGUUUUGCUGUCACUUAUAGAUGGAUCCGCGCCGCAUUAGCUAGUUGGUAAGGUAACGGCUUACCAAGGCGACGAUGCGUAGCCGACCUGAGAGGGUGAUCGGCCACACUGGAACUGAGACACGGUCCAGACUCCUACGGGAGGCAGCAGUAGGGAAUCUUCCGCAAUGGGCGAAAGCCUGACGGAGCAACGCCGCGUGAGUGAUGAAGGUCUUCGGAUCGUAAAACUCUGUUAUUAGGGAAGAACAAAUGUGUAAGUAACUAUGCACGUCUUGACGGUACUUAAUCAGAAAGCCACGGCUAACUACGUG
rnacentral:rRNA from 1 species